CACUCCCAGCCCCACUGCUUAUAUUUUAAAUAAUGUCUCGGAAAAAAUAAAUCCAUGGAAGAAAUGAGUGUGUAAAAGAAGCAAGUCAAAGUGACAUUUUUCUGGAUGUCAUGCUCUGUGUGCUUCAAUACUCUUUCUCUUCCCACCAACACAUGUUUCAUCAGUUACAGUUAGCCAACUCUGGUAGCAUUACCUACCUCCCACCCCCACCCGGUAUGUCCUGUGAGUAUUCAAGUUCCUUCACUAGGAUUCACUCCCAAAUGAAACUGAAUGCCCUCUCUUCCCUCUCUCUCUAGCCCCUUCUACCCAGAGAAGUUGAUUUUGUUCCUUUGACUGAAGUAUUGCUUCUCCUGGGCUCUUUUCUCUCCCUUCCCCACAAGGUUCCCAUCAAGCGAGUAAAAAAGCAAAACUAAUUUUUGUAUGUUAAUGUAUUCAUUUAGCUGGUCAUAACAGCAUCGCAUUUGAGGAUGCUGGAUCAUCUCCAAGUGAAACUUUGCAAAAGGCACCACUCUGGCUUCCCAGUCCCGGAAAUGCCCAUCUAUCAUACCCAGAAGGAAAUGGUUACUUGUGCUUCCAAACUUAAGUCUGAAUUUAUUUCCUGCACCAGGCAUGCUGCCUUAGGGAAGAGUAACAUGACCAGCCUGGACUGGACAGAGAAAUGGAGUUGUUGGACAAGCUUUCUCUAAGAGUGACAGACUCAGAACAACUAUAGCGAAAUAUCAAAGGACUGCCCUGGGGCCAAUUGCUUUGUCAUUACUUAUUUCAUCAAGACAAGCAUCUAACACACAAUAAAUGACUGCUACAAAGGUACUCUCUUAUUCUCAAGAGAAAUAUGUCAACUCUGUGAGCAGAUACUACAAAUGUUUUCCAAACUUGUUUAAAAAGCUUUCAGUUAGAAAAAUAAAGAUGGCAAAAACACAUCAUUAACUGACAGAUAAUGUUAGUUUCAGAGCUCAAAAGUUAUCUGAGUCAUCAUGUACUUUAAUUCCCUCUCUUAUGAAGGUGGAAGCUGAAACCCAAAUGUCACUAAAUGCCAGCUCAUGCCUAAUGUCACAGAAAUAUUUGUGCACUAAUCCCCACUUCUUAUAUUCCCAACUUAUUAUCGCUCCUUAAAUUUGGGAUAAUGUAAUGGAGCCUUUAACAAUGGGGUACAAGACAAUAUUUGAUAGGCCAUCAUGAAUUAAUUUUACUCUUUGGAAAUCAAUACGUGUUUCCUCUUCCCCUUAACAUGUAGAAAGCCCCAGGACAACAUCACUUCUUCUCUACCUCAACAAGCAAAAGCCAUGUAAUCCACGAAAUCAUAACUAUUCUUGAGGUUACGGGAGAGGUGAGGUAGCAAGUCAACCAAGUAAUAUGAAUUGCAAGGCGUGAACAACCCCUCUGGAGAUAGGCGACACACUAUUUCACCUUUUGGCAAAGCACAGCAGGAAAAGGAUACAACAUUGAAGCAGGUAAGAAGAAAGCAGCUCCAAUUUUAAUGGAUUCAUAAAGGCUAAGUAUGGUCUAAAUGGAUGCAUAGAAUUGCUCUGUCCAAUAUGGUGGUUAUUAGCUAGCUACAUGGAGAUAUUUAAAUAAAAUUUUAAAUGAACUAAAACUAAUUAAAAUUAGAAAUUAGUGGCUACUAUGUUGGACAAUAUGGAUAUAGAACAUUUCUAUCAUCCCGAAGUUCUGGGUCACCACUAGUCUAGACUAACUGGGAGACACAGACACAAAUAGAGUCUACUGUGUCUCUCUCGCUUUCCCUUUGGGCCUCUAUCCCAUGCUCAUGAGGACUACCAGAGGCAGUCUCAUAAAUAUAGGGACUGGAGAGAGCCUCCUUCUGGGGGGUUGGGGAUCAGUGUGGGAGGCGACAGGCAUGCAGAUGAUAAUUGAAACCACUAAGAGGCCAACAAGAAAACUUACUUCCCUGGACCUUUCCUGAAUACAAACCUUAAUGUAUUGUGGAGGGGCAGAAAAAUCUUUCCCUUCCAGUUCUCAGGAAAAGAUCCCUUCUUUUGAAGGGUGAACAGAAACAAAAGACGCCUGUUCCUGGGAGAGGAGCAGAAACUCUUUUGGGCCCAGAGUCCUACGUUGAUACAAAGUAGAGUAUCAGUGGUUCUGCUACCACUGGAGAAGAGGCAGGAAACUCUCUGACCCACAGAUUUAAUGUAGAAUUUCAGUGUCAGUGUAAUUUGAGGGUAAAAAUGUCAAGAAUGUCCCAUCUAAUGUCACAGGGUCUGCCUAAGCCUGAGACUGGAUCAUGAGAACCAAGAACAUCUUCUGUCCCCGCCAAAAAGUUAGCGAUGAGAGAAAAACAACAGCAGUCUAUUGCUGGGGGAGCUCUUCUGUGGUGCCGAUGUUCAGGGCUUGCUGCAUACUGAGGGUGGAACUGAAACACUGAGAAAUACCCUCUACCACUCCUGGCAGCCUACCAUGGGAAGAACUGGAAAUCUGUGAUGAACAGAAGGUGUCUAAUACCUUAAACCCAGUUCAACUAUUGACUAGAUCUACUCACUGCUCAUUCUACCUAACAGCCUAGCAAUAUGGUAAAUUCAAAUUCAACCAUAUAAAUAAUUGUAUUAUAUUAUAAUAAUAAAUAUUAAUAAUUACAUGUAUAUUGUCUAAACCUACACAUUUAAAUUGCUAGUGACUAGCUACAUAUGGCUAUUGAGCAAUUAAAAUUAGGCUAGUGCAGCUUUAUUUUUACUUAAAUUUAAUUUCUGUUUCAAAGUAAAAAAAUGGGUAAAUUUGUAUAUUGAUUAUAUGUUGAAAUAAUAUUUUGAAUGUAAUGGAUUAAGUAAACCAUGUUAUUAAAAUUGAUUUCACCUUUUUAAAAAGCAUUUUAAUAUGUCUACCAGAAAAUCUACUAUUACAUAUGAGGUUAACAUUCUCUUUUUAUUGGAUAGUGCUGUCCUAAGUACUCCAGUUAAAAGACAGAGAUUUUUAGAUUGGAAAAAAAAAAAAAACAAGACUCAACUCUGUGCUGUCUACAGGAAACCGUUUUACAUGUAAAGACAGAAGUCGGCUGAAAGCAAAAGCAUGGAUUAAGUAUGCCACACAAACACUUAAAAAAGAAAACUAAAAUGACUAUUUUAAUAUCAGACAAAAGGAAAAUUAACACAAGGCAUAUUGCUUGGAAUAUAGAGGGACAUUACAUAUAGUCAAAAGGGUCAGUUUAUCAAGAAGACACAGCAAUCUUAAAAGUUUUUGCACCUAAUAACAACAGAGCUUCAAAAUAUGUAAAGCAUAAACCAAAAUAAGUGAAAGGAGAAAUAGACAAAUUUACAGUUACAGGUGGAGACUUUCAGAUUCCUCUAUCAGUCAUUAUUAGAAAAAAUAAACAGAAAAUCAGUAAGGAUAUAGAAGACUUGAACAAACAACGUGACCUGGUUGGUACUUACUGAAAUUUCACCCAGGAAGUGCUCACAGAAUACACAGCAAGAAAGACCAUAUUUGGGCCCAUAAAACAAAUCUCAACAAUUUUCCAGUAAAUGAAUCAUAUAAAAUAUGUUCUCUGAUCACAACAGCACUUCCUCUAGAAAUCAAUAAAAAAGAUGUCUGCAAAAUUUCCAAAUGUUUGGAUAUUCAACACACUUGGAAGCCCUACAGGUCAAAGAAAAACAUCACAAAGGAAAAUAGAAUAUAUUUUGAAUGAAACUCAUCAUAAAUGCUAAGUGAUAUUCUAGAAAUCAUUUAGCAUCUACUUACCUAUCAAAUUUCUUCACGAAGGCUUAGCUAAAGGGCUGAAUCAUUCAGCUGCAACUGAUGAGGAAUGGCUGAGUGCAUGCUCAUAAAUGUUGGAUCAGCAACCGUCAUUACAGUCCUAAAUUUAUUUUUCUUUGUGCCUUAUCUUUUUUUCCUGUGGAUCUCUAUUACUUGCUCAACUAAAUUGAACUAAUAUUUAUGGAUCAUCUAUUAAGCAAGCAUAAGGCUUGGGCUAGGUGUUUAUGAAAUUAUGGAGAUAAGUAAGACAGCUUUUGAUUUCAAGGAGUUUGUAUUAUAGGCAUUAUAUGUCUAUAUCUGCUGCCUAAAUCUGACUUGCAAUUCGUCUUUUUCUAGAGCUUGUUUAAGACAGUAUUUUACCAGGUAAGUUCUCCCUUUAAUUCAGCUAAUAGAUUUGUUCCUUAUGUCUAUAAACUUUGAAAGUCUUGGGUCUACACCAUUCCUAAUUUUUAGGACUCACUACUGAUCCUGGGACUCUGCCAAUGGAGACUUUAACUAAUUUUUGACAGACGUAUUAAAAAUAUGUCCUCUAGCUUGGUUCUGAGUUUUUGCUUCUUGUAGUUUCUGUUUCCUUUUAUCCCAACAGACAAUAUCACUGUCUUUUCCCUUAAUUAUCACAAGAACAAUCAUGCGUAGAUGGCAUUUAACAAAUUGCAGUUGUUGCAAAACUUGCACUGAAGAACAUAAGCAAAAGGGACUUUGCUGAGCCAUUGUAUUGUGCUAGUGAUAAACUCUGCUAUCUUACAGAUACCAGUUUUUCUUCCACAUGUCAACAUAGACAGUAGAGUCACAUCUUAAUUUGACAUUAGAUAUUAAAGUCAGUGAGUAAAGUGAAAAAAAAACACAUGGAGUUAAAACCAUUCCUAAAAAUUUCCCAAUGUCAGCCUUAAUUCUAUAUGAUGGACUCAUGAAGGUUAAAAUGCCAGUAAUUUUUUUCUUGGCAUUUUUUCUUGAGAAGUAGAAGGCAAAGCUAUUUUGAAGACGAGGUAGGGAAUAACAAGUGAUAAAUAAAUAUAUCUUUUUCCCUCUCUCAGCCAAAGACCUAUACCUGAAUUUGAGCAGGCUAAAUAGGGGUAUCAGUUCGUUGUCCCCAAACUGAAUUGCUAAAUAUGAGAGUACGUGCUCUGGAAAAAAUAGACAAGUUAUGAUGACAUUAUUAAGUAAUACAGCAGAACAUUACACAGUGCAAUCAUGAACUUGAAAUUGUCAUUCAGUCUCAAAAUAUACUCCUUCAUUGAGGUUUACUUUUUUUGGUUUAAAAAUAUUUUUGUUAUCACAAGGUAAAGAGUAAACAUCAAACUCCAGCAAGAAGCUAUAUUGUUAAUAUAGCUCAUAACAUUGAAUCUAUGUCACUUGGCAUCAAGGCAAGUGAUUUUGCCAUUCUGGGUGGCUUCUCUCAAUUCAAGCCACGUGAGAAGAAACAGGGGAACAAUAAGAAGAAACAGGGGACAAUAUUACA